rnacentral:rRNA from 1 species
GAUGAACGCUAGCUACAGGCUUAACACAUGCAAGUCGAGGGGAAACGGCAUUGAGUGCUUGCACUCUUUGGACGUCGACCGGCGCACGGGUGAGUAACGCGUAUCCAACCUUCCCAUUACUGUGGGAUAACCUGCCGAAAGGCAGACUAAUACCGCAUAGUCUUCGAUGACGGCAUCAGAUUUGAAGUAAAGAUUUAUCGGUAAUGGAUGGGGAUGCGUCUGAUUAGCUUGUUGGCGGGGUAACGGCCCACCAAGGCUACGAUCAGUAGGGGUUCUGAGAGGAAGGUCCACCACAUUGGAACUGAGACACGGUCCAAACUCCUACGGGAGGCAGCAGUGAGGAAUAUUGGUCAAUGGACGGAAGUCUGAACCAGCCAAGUAGCGUGCAGGAUGACGGCCCUAUGGGUUGUAAACUGCUUUUGUAUGGGGAUAAAGUUAGGGACGUGUCCCUAUUUGCAGGUACCAUACGAAUAAGGACCGGCUAAUUCCGUG